rnacentral:rRNA from 1 species
UACAGAGGUCUCGAGCGUUGUUCGGAUUCAUUGGGCGUAAAGGGCGCGUAGGCGGCGGGGUAAGUCUGGUGUGAAAUCUCGGAGCUCAACUCCGGAACUGCAUUCGAUACUGCCGUGCUUGAGGACUGGAGAGGAGACUGGAAUUUACGGUGUAGCGGUGAAAUGCGUAGAUAUCGUCAAGGAAGACCGAGUGCGAAGGCGGGUCUCUGGACAGUUCCUGACGUGAGGCACGAAGGCCAGGGGAGCAAACGGG